rnacentral:rRNA from 1 species
UACGUAGGGUGCAAGCGUUAUCCGGAAUUAUUGGGCGUAAAGAAGCUCGUAGGCGGUCUGUUGCGUCCGCUGUGAAAAACUCGGGGCUUAACCCCGAGCCUGCAGUGGAUACGGGCAGACUAGAGGUAGGUAGGGGAGAAUGGAAUUCCCGGGUGUAGCGGUGAAAAUGCGCAGAGUAUCAGGAGGAACACCGGUGCGAAGGCGGGUCUCGUGGGCCGAUACUG